CCUGGCCCCUCACCUGCGGGGCCUCGGCCCUGCUCCCCGAGUUCAGCCGGGUCCUGCAGCGCAACGUGGACUCACAUCGCCUCUCACGGCUGCUGGGCUAUGGAAUUGCAGGCUGGAGAAUACUCAGCACAGGGGAGUAUGAAAGAAAGUCUCCAAGACUACACCGCAGGCAGUUAAUGAUCACCCCAACACCUGCAUUAAAACCAACCAGAAUUACCCAGAGACCAGCUGCAGCAGAGGCUUCCAGGCCUUUGUUCCUUCCUGUGCCAAGCCAGUUACUCACACCACUUGUGCUAUCACUCACAGCUACUCAGAGUUUAUCAACUUUCUGUGCAGAAAGUAUAACCAUGGCAAGUUACAAGAUGCAGAACAAUAUCCACCUUGCAAGUCAGGAAAGCUUGGUCACCUUAGGUAUGGAUUCAGCACAGGACCUGCCAACUAAGCCCACAGCAUCCAUUAUGUUUGCAGACCCUCAUUUCCCAGAUUUUUCACCUGCACUGAUGACUGAGACGAGGCCUCUCCUCUCUGAACUGCGAGUGCUGCCUGCUGGAGUUUCUGGUACAUCCUUGCUGUCAGAGCCUCACAUGCCUGAGGCACAAUCCUAUUUCCUUUUCAGUAAAUCAGAGAUGCCCACACACCAUCUCCUACAGGACAUCACUUCAGGCACUGAGCAGCUCUCCAGGCCAUGGGUGAUAAACACUCCUCAGGAGGGGCCUCGCAGCUCAGCAGUGGCAUUUUCUCCCAAGACAGAAUUACACCCAUUUUUGCCUGGAGCAAUGUCAGUAUCAGAAAUGCCAGAUUACAGCAAUGAGGUAAAAAGUCACUUUCCAGAACCUGAAAAGUUUUCUAAUGCAUCCCUCUGUCCAGAAGCAUCAGUACUGGACAUACUCCCUUCAGUAGUCCAAGAAGCUUCUGUAAGGGCCAUAGCUUUGUCUGGCUUCACAUCUUCCAUCAAGGACACAUUCCCAGCUGUCCUAGCAAGCAGCAGCCUGAGCCAAGUGUUCACUAAUGGCUGUGAACCUCAGUCUAAACCUUCUAUGACUAUCCCACAGCCCAGUGGCUUUUCAUUUGCUGGAGGGAAAAGCACAGCUUCUUCUGUGGCCCAGAGAGAAGCACAGACCCUCUGUUCCAAAUUGAUUUUCAGUGCUGAAGCCUCAGCCAGCUUUCCUCACACAUCAACCAGCACUGUCCCUGGUCAAGCUGAAGCACCUCUUGAGCCAAGUCUGAUCACUCUGUCCCACCCUGACACCACUCCAGUUCUUACUGUGCCAGAAGACUUUUCUGCCUUUCACGUGUCCAGGUUAUCCAGAGCAACAUUCUCUCCUCCUUACAGCAGCAGCAUGCUCAGAACAGAGCCACAGCCCACGAGGAUUUUACCCAGGGGCACAGAGGAAUUGCUUACACACAAAGACCUGGGAACAAGUGGGAUUUUGCCAAGUGUCACUGAGCCUUCCCUGGAGUCACACAACAUCUCAGGCAUCAAGCCAGAUGCUGUAGAAGCACCUCUGGUGACUUUAUUUAAUGCCACUUCUCACCUGGGCAGCAGCAUACCAGAGGUGGGUGAGACACUGCUGCCAUCACACCUGGAGCCCAGCACCCAGCUGUUUCCCUCCUCUGAAAGAGUACAGUUCAUGGAAAGUGAAUGGAUUCUUCCUCCAUUUUCUGCUUCACAAGAGCUGCAGACUGCUACCCAAGGUAAAAACAAGUUUACUUUUCUGUUCUUGCUUCUGAACACAGGUGCCAUCAACCUUUUCAUCCACCCUGUAAUGUGUCUCUGGCUUCCUGUUCUAGAACCCAUGCAGUCCUCAGACUAUCACAAUCAAAAUAUUCCUGUCCUGAAUCCAGCCCUCCCUAAUAUUUACAUGAGGUAAUAUACAAGGAGGGGAUAAUAAUGGCAUGACUUUACUACUCCUCACCAUAAAGUGCAGAAAGCACAAGUACACAAGAUCCAGAAAUGGUGGGAACAGAGAACCAUUUUUGUCACAAGCUGCAGGAGCUGCGUGUCGUGAUCCUUCACACUUUGAGCCUGGUAGCAAACUUACCUGACAGUCACAGGGAGGAGAUUUCCUUUCAAAUUUGUCCUCACAUUUUUAUUUUUAUUUUUAUUUAUACCAGCUUACCUGGUGUUUGCUCCCAAAUUCUCUGGAACUCUUCAAAGCAGGCAGAUGUGGAGCACUCACAGCAAUCCCAUCCCAGGCAUCCAUACUCUCAUAAAAUCCCCCCCAAAAAAUCCAUUAUUAAUGUUGGAAAUAGAAGACAAAACAACACCAUGUUGUGGUAUAUCUGUGUAAAAGUUACUAGAAUUAGAUGUAAUUGUUUGGGAUGGAGCCAUACGAGACUUGACCAAUAUUUUGGACUAGAGAAAACAGUGCUAGGGAUAUUUACAGCUCUUUAAAUAAACAGAUCUCUAAAUAUGCUUAACA
rnacentral:lncRNA from 1 species